rnacentral:rRNA from 1 species
GACGAACGCUGGCGGCAUGCUUAACACAUGCAAGUCGAACGGAAAGGCCCUGCUUUUGUGGGGUGCUCGAGUGGCGAACGGGUGAGUAACACGUGAGUAACCUGCCCUUGACUUUGGGAUAACUUCAGGAAACUGGGGCUAAUACCGGAUAGGAGCUCCUGCUACAUGGUGGGGGUUGGAAAGUUUCGGCGGUUGGGGAUGGACUCGCGGCUUAUCAGCUUGUUGGUGGGGUAGUGGCUUACCAAGGCUUUGACGGGUAGCCGGCCUGAGAGGGUGACCGGCCACAUUGGGACGGAGAGACGGCCCAGACUCCUACGGGAGGCAGCAGUGGGGAAUAUUGCACAAUGGGCGGAAGCCUGAUGCAGCAACGCCGCGUGCGGGAUGACGGCCUUCGGGUUGUAAACCGCUUUCGCCUGUGACGAAGCGUGAGUGACGGUAAUGGGUAAAGAAGCACCGGCUAACUACGU